rnacentral:lncRNA from 1 species
CACGAUCCAUGAAGUUAGAAAUGUAGACAAAAAUGGAUUGAGAAAGCAUUCAAUAUCUAUAAAAACAUUACAUUGUAAACAUUUCAGACGAAUCACUGAAAACUGUAAUAUAUUGUGAAAUUUCAGAGUAUGAAAGACCAUUCGCAGAAAUACCCUCCUCUUUAAUGCCAAAAUGCCAAAUUAUUGUCAGAGUCUGCUGACUCCAUCUAUGUAUUGAGCAGGUAUGCCAAGAGACAAAGUGUUCUGCCACAAAACGACGCAAAAUCUUUCCGGUGGCAGUCUUGGGGAAAGAAUCAGUUAUGAAGACCUUUUUGGGAACUUUGAAGGAUGCAAGAUUAUUCUUGCUAUAUCUUAGCACCUCUGCCUCGUCAACGUUUGAUCCUUCUCUUGGGAUGAUAGCACAAUAUAUCUAUCAAAAAGUUAACAAUAUAUCAUCAACACAAAUUUCAGUCAACAAAACUAGAUAUAGUAAUCCACAUGUAAUACCGGAAGAGGUCGAAUGGUCGACAAGGCUGAAUAAACCCAAAUGUACUACCGGAUGGUCAGGAGGUCGAAUGGUCGACAAGACCGAAUAAACCUAAGAACAAACAAUAAACACAUGAUUAACUGUAAUUAAACCAGUUUAGUUAUAAACUAUGAUUAAGGCACAAUUGAACCCUCGUCUGAAAUCCAAGAGCAGGCCCAUAACAAUUGAGGUUCAUCCCAAAGUUAUAAAUACUAGAGGAGACCCAGCGUCAAAGGUAAUCUUUCACUCUUAACUCAUCGGCAUAUUGUACUUGGACUAACUUGAGCAUCGGAGCGCCUUCGCAGGUACCCCACUCCGCCGUUCUUGGAGAAGGACUUGCAAGACGAAGAGACACCGAACACAGAAGCCGCGAGGACGAGAAGACGGAAGCUACAUGAGUCAUUCUGAGAGGAACCCGACCUUGUAAGAACAUUUUUGGCGCCCACCGUGGGGCCGGGAUGAAAUCCUUCAGAGUGUCCACAUGAUAACAACGAGGAAUAUGACUGGCAACGACAGAAAUACGUAAGGAGGAGUAUAGACCAACCCAAAAAGAAACCUCUCGACCAAGGUCGACCCACACUACAAAAAAAAACACAUUUAGCGACCACCACAUUCGGUCGCUAAAAGCACUAUAAUCGAUCGCUAAACAUAUUUGUCACCGAAAUAGUCACUAAAUAAAGAUGGAAGCGAAACUCUAGUCGCAAAGCCUUUAGCGACCGAAUUAUAAAGUGGUCACUAAUUUGCAACCGAUAUUUCAGUGGCUAAAUCGGUCGCAGAAAAUUUGAUCACCAAAAAUCAGAAACCAAAUUAGCAAUCGAAAUUUCAGUUGUUAAAUCAGUCGCAAAAAAUUGUCACCAAAAUUCAAAAACCAAAUUAGUAACUGAAAUUUCAGUGGCUAAAUCGGUCGCAAAAAAUUUGGUCACAAAAAUUUAGAACCCAAAUUAGCAACCAAAGUUUUAUAAAAUAAUCGGUGACUAAAUCGGUAACUGAAACAAAAGGUAAUAGCGACAACCAUUUUUUGUCGCUAAUGGAUUAAAAUAAUUAAUUAAAAAAAACUUUUGGUGGCUAAUUCGGUGACUAAAUGGAGACUCCUAGGAUUUUGAUGGCUAUUUUUAUAUGUAUUAUUAAUAUUUAUAGGACUCCUUAAGUAUGACAUUGUAGUUUCUUCUCAUUGCUUUGAGUUUUUUCCUGCAGAAAUACAACUAAGGUUGAUUGCAAUGAGUACAAGGAAAGCCUCAGAACAUUGAAAUUUUCGAUUAAUUGAAUUCAAGUUCAAAUUAGAAAUCAUAACAUAAAGUUGUACCAGAAACAUGCAAAGAAAAGCUGAUGGAAGCUCAUACCAACCAAAAUAGAAAAAUUAACUCUCCGUGAAAAGGGCAAAUAAGAACUGCAAUAAAAUUUAUAGAUAAUCGAUUUUGCAUACAAUGACAAAUGUUACGAGAUAGAGGUUAAAGCCAUCUUCCUAAAUUAACAGAAACAAAAAGUUAUCUCUCCAAAAAAAAACUAUAGAAAUAUGGACUCAUUCCUAGAAGAAUCAAGCUAAGGCAGAAUAAACUCGGUAUCAAUCUUACUUUAAUGUAUACUAUUCUCUCCGCCUGGAUUUGCUUUUUCAACUGAUUUAUCUUGAGCGACAAGGUUCCCAAUGCAUCAUUUGCAGGCUCUCCAAGUUGUUUCUAUCGACAUUACAGAAGAAAACGUCACCACAUUCAAAGUACAAAAAGUAGAAAAACAUAAAACAAAAUUUCAAUUCUCAAGCGAUGAAGCACAAUGACCAUUUAAUUAGCAAUGGAAAAUCUACAACAGAACAGAAAUCAAUACUAAAGACUAAGCACAAUCCAAAAGCCCUAUUCGCGACUCAAGUGUUGUGAUAUUCAAUUACAGAGAGAUAGAGGAAUAGAGAACUCGAAAAUGAUGUUCGCUCGUGAUUACCAGCUCAAUUUCAAAAUUCUAUAUAGACAUAAACAAAUUCUGAAAAACAGUUACGCCAUCGAUUCCGUUGAGUCGGAAGAGAAAAAAAAAGAAUUGAAGCAUUAAACAACAAGUUGUAUUCAGUUUAUUGUUGAAUUGGAGGAAGAGAGAGAAACUGACUCGAGGUUUGGAAGCGGAGUCGGUAUGUUUGGAGACCAUCGAUGGUGUGACGUACGGUGUGCGAAGUCGAUCAAAGGAGGAAGAAAGCAAGAGACAGUCACUCUCGUGUCUGUUGUGUGAGAAAGAAGGGAAAGAAAGUGACAGGUUCUGAGUUUUGACACGUUUGAUUAGAUGGCCUACCGCAAAAACAAACGCAACGUAAUUUGUGGUGGUUGCGUAAGUUACACACCAUCCACCACCGCUACUAUUUUCUUCAUUAUAUUUUACGCACCAUCCAAGAAAAUUUCAUGACACACAAUUUUUUCAAUACUUAAAAUAAAAUUGAUUUUGAAUACAUUCCAAUAUUUUAUCUAAUUAUAUUAUUUAUUAUUAAAAAUGAAUAAAACUGUAGCCAUACACAUUUUUGUAAAAUAAAAAAAAAUAUUAAAUAAGUAUUUAUUUUAUCUAAUUAUAUUAUUUAUUAUUAGAAAUGAAUAAAACUGUAGCCAUACACAUUUUUGUAAAAUUAAAAUUAUAAUAUUAAAUAAGUAUUAAAAUAUCUUGAUAAUAAAUAUGAAUAUUUUAAUCAUUUAAUUAUUUUUCAUGGUUUAAGUUGCAGAUACCUAUUACCUCUGUUAAUAAUUUUUAAAUAAAAUAUUAAUAAUCAAAAAAUUAUUUACAUUUUAAUUCUGAAAAUUUAUUUGUUUUUAUAAAAUUAAAGUAAUUUUAAAGGGAUAAUUUUAUUUAAAUUUAAUUAUGUGGCGUAAUUUAUUUUUUAAAAGGAUUAAUUUUAUAAAUAAUAUUAUUUUGUUAUGUAAUUUUAUUUAUAAUUUUUAUUUGAGCUGAUAUUUUAAAAAUAAUAUUUAUUUAACUUUAUUUAAAUUUAAAAAAUUACAAAUAUAAUUGACACAAAUUUUUUAAAUAGAAAAAAAAAACAGUAAUACAACUAAUUAUUUUAUAAAUGGAUGACUAGUCAAGAAUAUCUAUAGUGGUCCUUGUAUAGAUUUUUAAAAUAAAAAUGAAUUAUUAUUAUUAUUAUUAUUAAUAUUACUGAAAUAAAAAUUACAUUCAGCUACUAAAUUAUGGAUAUUUGGUGGUUAUUUUGGUUGCAAAUUGCAACCACUUAUUUUCGGUCUCUAAAUUUGGUGACUAAAAUGUUAUUUUUUUGUAAUGUCAAGUGAAUCCCUGUCGAGAGCAUGUUAAAGAAAUCGCUCGGCCAAGGUCGAUUCACCCAAAUGAAUCCCUGCCAAGAGCACGUUAAAAGAAAACCACUCGGUCAAGGUCGAUUCACCCAUGAAUCCCUUUCAAGAGUGUGUCAAAAAAACCUCUCGGUCAAGGAAGAAUUCACUUACGUGAAUCCCUAUCGAGAGACUGUCAAAGAAAACCUCUCAGCCAAGGUCAAUUCACCCAAAUGAAUCCAUGCCGAGAGCGCGUUACAGAAACCUCUCGGCCAAGGUCGAUUCACCCGUGAAUCCCUGCCGAGAGCACGUCAAAGAACCCUCUCGGCGUAGGUAGAAAUUCACCUAUGUGAAUCCUUGCCGAGAGUCGGAUAAGAAACCUCUUGGCGAAGGUAGAACUCACCUACGUGAAUCCCUGCCGAUAGUUCGUAAGAGAAAACCUCUCGGAGAAGGUAGAAUUCACUUGUGACCGGGAUUCCGAUAAGAAAACCUCCUGGCAAAGGUAGAAUUCACCUAUGUGAAUCCCUGCCGAGAGUCCGAUAAGAAACCUCUCGGAGAAGCUAGAAUUCACCUGUGUAUCCCUACCAGGUCCGUAAGAGAAAACCUCUUGGCAAAGGUAGAAUUCAUAUAUGUGAAUCCAUGCCGAGAGUCCGAUAAGAAAACCUUUUGGCAAAGGUAGAAUUCACUGAAUCCCUACUGAGAGUCCGAUAAGAAACCUCUCGGAGAAGGUAGAAUUCACCUGUGAAUCCCUGCCAAGAGUCUGAUAAGAAACCUCUUGGCGAAGGUAGAAUUCACCUACGUGAAUCCCUGUCGAGAGUCCGUAAAAGAAAACCUCUUGGAAAAGGUAGAAUUCACCUCCGUGAAUCCCUGCCGAGAGUCCGAUAAGAAAUCUCUCAGAGAAGGUAGAAUUCAUAUAUGUGAAUCCAUGACGAGAGUUCGAUAAGAAAAUAUCUUAGCGAAGGUAGAAUUCACCUAUGUGAAUCCCUGCCGAGAGUUUGAUAAGAAACCUCUUGACGAAGGUAGAAUUGAUAUAAACCCACUAACAUGAUAGGAUAUGAUAUGAACAUGUUAUGGAUUCAAUAAGAGUUGGAAUAUGAUUAGGCACUUUUUAAGAAUUUGAUCAAUGUUCUUAAACAUUCAAGAACUCACCAAAACACAAGUAACCAAGCCAAACUCACAUAGAAACCCAUUUUUGGACAUAUGAACCGUUUGACACAAGGAAGAACACAAAUGCACUGAUUAAAAGUCCAAGAAACACAAUCAUAACCACAAGAACAGCAAACCAAAUGAAACUACCGAAUAUAAACACAAGACAAACAAGUUCUACCGAUUGAAAUAACAAGAAACAACAAAAACAUGUUUUAGAGUUUGUUUUGGAAUGGAAAUGGAAGAAGAAGAUGAAAAGGACAAGGAAACUUAUGUGGUUGGAGCUCUUGGAAAUGUGCACGCCACUUGAAGGAUGGUUGGCUUCAAGAUGAGUGUUGUUGCCGCCACUUGAGAGACCAAGAAUUCACUCAAGAUAAGACUAGAAGAGAAGAAAACACAAGUCUUUCUCAAUUCACUCACCAAUUUGGUAGAGGUUCAUUAUUCACAAAAUCAAUCCUAUUAUUUUAAAGACCUAAGCCUUCCUUUUAUAAUGAGGAGGACUAGUCACAAGUAAAAGGGAAGCUUACAAGAGAAGCUUUGAAAUGUGACCUUCUAACUCUUCCUAUUUUAGUGCCUAAAGGAGAGUGAAGAGGCACCUUUCUAGAUCUUUCCUAAAAACUAAUGCCUAAAUGUGCAAUACAAAGGAGGUGUCUUAGGUGUCCAUCUUUAGCACCUUCCUAAACACUACUCUAUAUGUUUUACAAUUUUAUACAAAAGAAACUAUAAAAAGAGAAAACAUUUGAAGCCUACUACCUAACUCCUUAGCUUUGCUCCUUGUAAUCCUUUGAGGUAUAAAGGAUGAUGAGCUAAUGUGUCUUUGAGCAUCUUGAACUUCAACCUCAUUCUCUUCUUCUUCUUGAUCUCCAUCAAGAAUUCACCUACGUGAAUCCCUGUCGAGAGUCCGAUAAGAAACCUCUCGACAAGGUAGAAUUCACUUACGUGAAUACCUGCUGAGAGUCCGUAAAAGUAAACCUCUUGCCCAAGGUAGAAUUCACUUAUGUAAAUCCCUGGCGAGAGUUCGAUAAGAAACCUCUCAGAGAAGGUAGAAUUCACCUAUGUGAAUCCCUGCCGAGAGUCCGAUAAGAAACCUCUUGGCGAAGGUAGAAUUCACCUACGUGAAUCCCUGCCGAGAGUUCGUAAAAGAAAACCUUUUGGCGAAGAAUUCACCUAUGUGAAUCCCUGCCGAGAGUCCGUAAAGAAAUCUUCUUGGCGAAGGUAGAAUUCACCUACGUGAAUCUCUGCUGAGAGUCUGUAAAAGAAAACCUCUUGGCGAAGGUAGAAUUCACCUACGUGAAUCCCUGCCGAGAGUUCCAUAAGAAACCUCUUGGCGAAGGUAGAAUUCACCUAGGUGAAUCCCUGCCGAGAGUUCGAUAAGAAACCUCUUGGCGAAGGUAGAAUUCACCUACAUGAAUCCCUGCCGAGAGUCCGAUAAGAAACCUCUUGGCGAAGGUAGAAUUCACCUGCGUUAAUCCCUGCCGAGAGUCCGAUAAGAAACCCUCUCGGGGAAGGUAGAAUUCACCUACGUGAAUCUCUGCAGAGAGCCUGUAAAAGAAAACCUCUUGGCGAUGGUAGAAUUCACCUAUGCGAAUUCCUACUGCGAGGCCGUAAAAGAAAACCUCUUGGCGAAGGUAGAAUUCACCUACGUGAAUCCCUACCGAGAGUCCGAUAAGAAACCUCUCGGAGAAGGUAGAUAUAAAACAGUUGAGGUGGAUAAAAAAACAUCUGCCCAAAGAUGAAGCAAUUUUUAUUUUAUAGACUCUACAUUACAUUUUAACAAUUCCACUUGAGCCUUGGGGGCAAAUGUACUACCAGAUGGCUGAGAGGUUGAAUGGUUGACAAGGCCAAAUAAACCCAAAUGUACUACUGGAUGGCCGGGAGGUUGAAUGGUCAACAAGGCCAAAUAAACCUAAGAACAAACAAUAAACACACAAAUAAUUGUAAUUAAACCAGUUUAGUUAUAAACUAUGAUUAAAGCACAAUUGGGCCCUCGUCUGAAAUCCAAGAGCAGGCCCAUAACAGUUGAGGUCCAUGUCAAAGUUAUAAAUACUAGAGAAGACGCAGCGUCAAAGGUAAUCUUUCACUCUUAACUCAU